AGACCAUGAUGAGGACAACACCUUAGCAGAUCCUUGUAUCUUUCCCAAACCUCAUACAAUGACUCAACAACAAAUUGUGUGAAUGAUGUAAUAUCAUUCCUCAUUUU
rnacentral:snoRNA from 1 species